rnacentral:ribozyme from 1 species
UUCUACUAUUCCUGAUGAGGAGGACCUUGUACUUUGAAUGGCCAAAAUGAGCCACAUGAAAUAAAUCAUGCUGAUGAGGAAGAAAAAAAAAAAAGGAAAUAGAAGGGAUGAAUACAUAUAAGAACCCUUGGUCUUGGU